rnacentral:rRNA from 1 species
UACGUAGGGGGCAAGCGUUGUCCGGAAUCAUUGGGCGUAAAGAGCUCGUAGGCGGCUUGUCGCGUCGUUCGUGAAAACCUGCAGCUCAACUGCAGGCUUGCGGUCGAUACGGGCAGGCUAGAGUUCGGUAGGGGAGACUGGAAUUCCUGGUGUGAGCGGUGAAAUGCGCAGAUAUCAGGAAGAACACCCGUGGCGAAGGCGGUUCUCUGGGACGGUACUGACGCUGAGACGCGAAAGCGUGGGGAGCGAACAGG